CAAAUAAAUUCACCCAGCUUUCUCCUCACUGUGUGUUGACAAAAUAAUUAGAACAAGUUCAUAAUCAUAGGAAGCAGGAGAGCCAGGCUUUGAAUGUGGCAGUUUAUUGCACUUUAAAUCCCGGGACUUUGUUGCCUCUCCAAUAAACAGAAUAUGCAUGGCAAGGUUGUCGUUCCAGCUACAUAGUUGAGCUGUAACCACUGAAACCGAAAACUUAUCCUGAUAAGACCACAUAUUUGCCUUAACUGUGUGAAAAUACAAAAAAAAAAAAAAAAGGAUUUUAUUCGUUCCGUGACAUCAGUUUCAAAGAGUGGGAACAUAUGCCUAUUAAAGAGCAUUCCUUUAAUACAUGGAUGAUGACUUCAUCAUCUGCUAUCUGAGUUUGUUUUUUUUUUUUUUUUCAGGAUCUACAGACACAGAUGAAGAGACAUAUAGAUAGAAUCACAUUUACGUCAUACCAUUGGACGGAGCAUCCCUGAUUUGAAGACCUGGGCUCCUGCGCACUGAUCGAUGGCUCCAAGGUGGCAAAGAAAAUGGUGGUGACUGCAACAUGCUGGUUUCAAGCUUUGGACUCAAGAGGCCUUGCACACAACUAUUCUUCUUUUUUCUCCCUUCCCUCUGCUCCUACCAUGAGAACAAGCUGAAGCCAGCAUCCUGGAAGAGAUCAGCCAAGAUCAGCAAAGCUGACUAGGGAUGGACAAGCAAACCCCGCUGAGAAGAGAGCAUUGCCUGGCUACCCUGGACAUUCUUCCCUCUCUCUUUCUUUCCCUCCCUCUCUUUCUUCUCUUUUUUCUCUCUUUUUCAAUAAAGAUAUGGUUUUCUUUAAAUUGC